rnacentral:piRNA from 1 species
UGCCCGUGUUCCUGGUUCCAAAGUCAUGU